rnacentral:lncRNA from 1 species
UUAACCGAAAGGUAUCCGACUUCUACAGACGGGGCCAACCUCUAGACACUAUUGGAUGCCUAGUGCACACUCAGACACGAAGUUCCACUUUCGUAGCCACGGCAAAAAGUUAGUUCGGUUACGGUUCCAUGGGGAACUCGGUUUGUUUGAUUACGGCGGCGCGGUCACUUUUGGCUUUCCUAUUACUGAUGGAAGUUGAAUGUUCCCCAAGCGAACCCGUAGUUUGGUGCCCAGUGAUGCUGAGCGGACGUAAUUGCAUAUUUUUCGGACAAAGAAUUCCCGGCGGUCAGAGCCGCGCCAUGAGAAACCCGUGCGUCCUAGUUACUUGUACUGAAGAAGCGCUGGCAGUGAUUGUAUCAGGGUGCUCAACCCGGGGUGGAAUAAGCCAAACAAGACCCAGAGGGUGUCGUGGUUUGCCAGAUGCUUGGCCAAGAUGUUGUGAAAGUUGCCGACGACCUAGGACCAAUGCAACCCGCGGAAAAAAUAAAGAAGAAUAAUCUGCUUUAGCGCUCAUACAUUGCCGCUUAAUUGAUCAUCUUUAGCAAAAAUGAAGCCUCUACACCACGACUGCGUAGUCCAUCCCAAGAGAACAAGGCUUGACUUCCCUCGCCAAAGUUUCCACUUACGCUAGAGUCAUACCGUUGCCGCCCUCCGCGUCCUCGGUCAUGGACGCCAUUUCUCCUCUCCUCCUCUCCUCUUCACAUCUUUAUUGCCCUCUCCCCUACAGGCGCUUAGC